rnacentral:lncRNA from 1 species
AAAUUCCAAAUUAUGUUCCUUUUCCGUUACAGAUGGUGUGUCCUUUGGCAACUUAGAGCUUAAAGAAAUUUAGAAUUCCAUUUUCUCUGCUAGGUGUAUGUCACUGUUGUUCUUUCUAAAAUUGGCAACAUGUAGUUAAUCAUCAUUGCUAUUUAUACUGUAUACCUAUGAAAGGUAUGAUUGUUAUCUUUCAGAUGCAAACAUCUUUUCUUGCUCUCUCUUUAGAUAUAUGUAUGUGCAUAACAUAUUAGUUUGAAAGGUAUUUUUUUAAUAUUUCCAUUAAUAGUUUGUUUACAAAAUUGAAUGGUCAUUUACAGUAAAUUUAAAGGUACAACUUAUUUGAAAAGGAAAGAACUUAGUGUAGUUUUAUUGACUUUAUUACAUAGUCUUACCUUUUGAAAUAAUAUUGAACUUUAUAUUUCAAAGAUAUGUGAUCUGUAUUUAUUUCUCAAAAAAUUGAAUGCUGUUUCCAAAUUAAAUGGUAAUUGUAUUAUAUUUGCACUUAACACAUUUUGAAAUUUUGUAUGAGAUAAUUUCCAUUAUUUUGGUUUUAAUUCCAACAUUCUUGGGCAUACUUAUUUUUUACUAAAUAAGAUUGCAUGGUAAAUGUGAUACAAAGAGGUGUCAAUAAUCUGUACCAUAUACAAUUUUUAAGGCUCCUUGCCUUGUUUAUUUACUUUUGCAGAGUCAACUAUAAAAAGUAGAAUAAAUAUGUGAUAUGUCAUUCAUCAUUUUAAUAUUUUAAAUUUAGCAGCUGCCCUCCAAAAUAAUGAUUAAUAGUACAGAUAGAACUGAUUCCUUUUCUCUCCUAUAGUAUAAAUUUAGUUGUUAAUCCAAUAAUGAAACAUUUCCAUUACUUUCAAAUAUCAUUACAACUACUGUUUGUUAGUUUCAGUAACAAUCAGAGUUCCUCCUCAAAUGCUUAAAGGAUCUUCAUAGAUUGUUAUAAACAGAGUGCUCUAAUGGCUAGAAUUAAAAUGGCAGCAAAGACAAAUCAACAUAAAUGUAAUAAUUAAACCAUUACCUUCUUUACUAAGAAGAGAACAGAAACUCAAGUACAUUAAAAUAAUGUCCUGAAAGAUAUUGGAAGUGUAGCAAGCUGACAUUCAAACUUAAUAAGAUCUUACUAAUACAAUUUUGAAAAAUUUAUAUGGUUCUAUACAAAUAUGUUUCUAUUUAGUGCAAAAGAGAAUUUUUUAAUAUAGAAUUAAUCCGUUAUUUUUCUCUCUAACUUGCCAAAAUUCACCUAAAUAAAGGUGAAGUAGGAAAAAGAAAUAUUUGGGAUAAUGGCCAUAGCUAUCACUAGAUCCUUGAACAAUACCUUGCAAUUAGUAGACACUUCCCAAAUGAAUUAACAGACACAUAUUUAUAGAUACCUACAGCCUGAAGUGAAUUCAGUGAAUACUAUAAAGAUCCUAAAUUGUCUGUUAUGACACCAUUUACCCUGUUGUAAACUUGGAGGAUAGCUGAAAUAUCAAUAAGGAUAUUAGGCAACUGCUUAGUACCGUGGCAGGCAAAUUUAUAUUAGGGAACUAUUGAGGAUGCUAUUAGUGAAUUUUAAAUAUAUUUAUUAAAAAUAUUCUCCCGAUGGUUCCACUUUUAGUCCACUUUUCUAAAAAAUGGAAAUGAAAUGUGAGUACUAAGAUCUAACUAAAACUUAUCUCCAUUUUUUAUUUUAAUUAUUAAUUUUGCUUUGCUAGUAUAGUUGGCUAAGGUUUUUAAAAUAAUUAAGAAAAGUAAUGAUUGCUGUUCUGCUCUUACUUUAUUGUUCAGGGUUUGCCUCAGUCGAGACACUGGUAAAAAUUUCAGGCAUUUUACAGAUACACUCUUGGUGUUUUAAGCAUGGUGAGGUGUUUAUCUAUUUAGAAAGCUUUUCCGGGCACCAUGUGUUUUCCCCUGGGUGUGAGAAAAUCACUUCUUCCUUUUAAUGAGAAUGUUACCUCCAGGGAAAAAGUAAUCCAGAAGGAAUAAUACGUUCCUCAGGGCAGCUUCCUACACAGGGACAUGCAAUUCUCUGGGGCUGACUGCAUGUAUAUUUCAGUGGAAGAAUUUUAAUAUUUUAAAAUAUUGCAUUUAGUCAUAAGGCACCAUAACUAUAGAAUACAGUAUUUUUUGAAAUAUAUUGACAUAUUUUUCUAAGCUUUUUUAUACAUCAAUUAUAAUUUAGAAAAUUUUAUGUAUCAUUAAAAAUUUACCUGUCUUCAUAUUUGAAGUACAAUAAAAUAGGUCAUUAUUAAUAUAUGUAUUAUACAUAUUAUUAAACUUAGGAACAGAGAACAAGAGGCUUAAAUGAUGUGGUUUUAGAACAGCAUGUAUGGUCACCAAACAGCACAAUUUUAGAAGUCUUUAAGCUGUUUUGAUAACCAAAAUAUAAAGUAGUUCUCUCCAACCCAACUUACUUCAUUUUAACCUUGGUGAACAUUUGGAUGAUGAAGUAUUUUUUUGUUGGGUCACUUAGAAUAUUUUGAGGAGUUCAUAAUUUGAGAAUGUGAAGUUGUUUGACUUUGUAGCCACAUGUUUGAAUCCUUCAACAUUAUAUUUAAUAUUCAUAUAUUUCAAAAUUCUGUUAGGUCACUAUUUUUGCCCAUUAAGGAAUAUUGGAAUACAGCUAUAUUAACUCUGUGAUUUUAAAUACUUUGCUAUUUUUUCUUUUACAAAUACUUAUAAUUUUCUUUCCAAACUAAGAACCAAUUAGACAUUAAACAUAUAUUAAAAUACUAAGAUAUAUUGAUAUUAUGUUUUUCCUUGUAGAAGAUACACUCCCAUAGUCAACAACUACAGUAAAUAAAUACUUGAUUCAUAAGAUAUAGCAAUACUACAAUAUUUCAAUGGUAUCUGAUGAUAAAUAUGAAAAAUGCACUUCAGUUUGAGAAUACUAGCAUACUGUGAAAUAAUGAGGAAUAAAACUCAAAGAAGCACCUUUUAAAAAUACCUAAACUAAGGAGACGUCACUGCAAUGGCUCAGGUGACUGCUUUUGCCGGGGUUUGAUCCCUGGCCUGGGAACUUCCC